rnacentral:rRNA from 1 species
GCGCCUCGUGAAUUCAUCUCCGGGGGUAGAGCACUGUUUCGGCUAGGGGGCCAUCCCGGCUUACCAACCCGAUGCAAACUGCGAAUACCGGAGAAUGUUAUCACGGGAGACACACGGCGGGUGCUAACGUCCGUCGUGAAGAGGGAAACAACCCAGACCGCCAGCUAAGGUCCCAAAGUCAUGGUUAAGUGGGAAACGAUGUGGGAAGGCCCAGACAGCCAGGAUGUUGGCUUAGAAGCAGCCAUCAUUUAAAGAAAGCGUAAUAGCUCACUGGUCGAGUCGGCCUGCGCGGAAGAUGUAACGGGGCUAAACCAUGCACCGAAGCUGCGGCAGCGAACGUAUCACCCAAGACAACUUUACGGAGUUGACGAUUGACGGAGCGAAGCGACGUCAAAGCGUUCAUUAAAGUCGAGUUGGCUUAGGGAUACGUUCGUUGGGUAGGGGAGCGUUCUGUAAGCCUGUGAAGGUGUGUCGUGAGGCAUGCUGGAGGUAUCAGAAGUGCGAAUGCUGACAUAAGUAACGAUAAAGCGGGUGAAAAGCCCGCUCGCCGGAAGACCAAGGGUUCCUGUCCAACGUUAAUCGGGGCAGGGUGAGUCGACCCCUAAGGCGAGGCCGAAAGGCGUAGUCGAUGGGAAACGGGUUAAUAUUCCCGUACUUGGUGUUACUGCGAAGGGGGGACGGAGAAGGCUAUGUUGGCCGGGCGACGGUUGUCCCGGUUUAAGCGUGUAGGUGUGUGUUCCAGGUAAAUCCGGUU